CCUUCACCGAGCUGCGUCCCUGUCUCAAAGAACUAUCUGUCAUUAUCUGGUCCAAGCAGGAGCCUCGCUCAUCAAGACAGACCUACAGGAUGAUGAGAUCAACCAACAGAGUCUGGCUGACAAACUCAAGGAGCAGAAGAUGGACACAAAUCCGUUUGUACAUCUCCACAAAACUCUGGAGGCACCACAAGCAGCUCAGCCGCCUCAGAGACCAGAUCCAAGACCAGCAGAGGAUGAUGGACGAGCUCAUUCAUUUACAAUCAUAAACUACUUCAAUUAGAAGUGCCAGAUUUUAUCCACUCAAGCAGACAUCAACAUUAACUCUGGCCACAUUAUACAUUUUAUUUUCCUCCUUUUUGUUUGAACCAGGGCCUGUUACUGGAGCAGACUCAUGACAGACAGCUGGAGAAAGAUGCAACACUACAGAAGCUCAUACUGCUGAACGAUCAGAGGAUCUGAAGGGCCUCCAGGACACGGUUCCCAGACCGAGACCUUCAAAAUGUGGACUCUGAUUGGCCUGUUUUUGUUAACGAUGCUGAGGUUACCAAAGCAACAGAUCACAAAAGUUCAAAUGGACUCAGGAGAAGAUCGAGAAACAUCCAUCCAACGCAAGCAGACGAAAUCAUUUGAAUGAUCACCUGUCUGUCCAGGAGCUGCACCUGAAGGGAGCAAAGAGAUGAUCUCCUCUUUUCAUUUCUUCACCAGAUUGAAGGAGUGAAAACUACAAGACACAAGAAGUUUAGUCAUUACCAAAGUUCUGUAUAAAUUCAAACAAUAAACUAAUACAAGUUGUUGCUAAUGCUAAGCUACAUGCUAAUGCUAAACCUUAAGUUCAGUACAGGAACUUACAU